rnacentral:rRNA from 1 species
AACGAACGCUGGCGGCAUGCCUAACACAUGCAAGUCGAACGAGACCUUCGGGUCUAGUGGCGCACGGGUGCGUAACGCGUGGGAACCUGCCUUUAGGUUCGGAAUAACUCAGAGAAAUUUGAGCUAAUACCGGAUGAUGUCUUCGGACCAAAGAUUUAUCGCCUUUAGAUGGGCCCGCGUUGGAUUAGCUAGUUGGUGGGGUAAAGGCCUACCAAGGCGACGAUCCAUAGCUGGUCUGAGAGGAUGAUCAGCCACACUGGGACUGAGACACGGCCCAGACUCCUACGGGAGGCAGCAGUGGGGAAUAUUGGACAAUGGGCGAAAGCCUGAUCCAGCAAUGCCGCGUGAGUGAUGAAGGCCUUAGGGUUGUAAAGCUCUUUUACCCGAGAUGAUAAUGACAGUAUCGGGAGAAUAAGCUCCGGCUAACACCGUG